rnacentral:lncRNA from 1 species
GGACACUGAUGUCAGCACAGUAGCAGCUUCCUUGACAAAUAUUUGUGGAGCUGAAUAAAAAAGCAGCACAGAAGAGCAAACCCCUUGAGAGAUGUCGGCCGACUCCCAGGCCUCCAGAACUUAGCUUGAUGGACUUUGACAGACAGGGAUUUGUUUCUUCGUGUUGUUUAGCUCAAACCAGAGCUAAACCUCCUCAUCGUCUCAAAUGACCUGAAAUGGUUUCCCAAGCAACCUGGGCAGACCCUGGGGAGUCCAGAAGGCAUUCAGGGGCCCUGGACCUCUGGGGCUGAAGAUCUGCCUGCCGCUGUCCUGGAGGUCACAGGUUCCAGAAGGGCAGCAGAUGCCUGAAGCCGCAGGGCUGCGGGAAAUGAGGAAGCGGAGGGAGAGUGGACUGGAAGGAACUUGACCCAGGAUGCUGAGCAUGGCUGGCCAAUGGGAUGCUUCUCUCUCCAAAGGAGCAGGGAGAGCUGGAGAUACCCUCCUUGCAAACAGCAGCUUGAGGAUCCAGCGCCUGGUGCACAGCCCACAGCGACCCCAAGAAGCUGCUCCAACCCCUGGGACUAUGGAGCUCUACAGCUGUAGAGACCACCAGGAAGUGGACUGCAGGCCCCUGGCCUCUCCAUUCAGAUUCUGCAAAGAGAUCCUGAUGGGUUGGGCCAAUGGGUCAGGCAUCCAGUCAGCUCUGGCUAAGGGGUGAAGGAGUCAGGUGUUACCAACGUGGUGGCAGGGGCCACCUUGAAGCUGUGUUCUGUGCCAUGGAAGAAGGAAGAGGAGGAGGAAGCUAAGCUGGAAGGGAAGGCAGUCUAGGCUCCUGGAGUCAGUAGUUGGAAUCUCAGAUGGGAAGAAACCUUAAAAGUCAUCUGGUCCAGUAUUUUCCAAAGCAUGUUCCAUGAACUUGUUUUCCAGAAAUGGUUUCCUGGUCUGGUGAGUGGGAGUUCGAUGAGAGUGGCAGUUGUCUAUUUUGUUCACCGAUGUAUCUUAGGUGACUAAAACAAUGGUUGUCACAUGGCUGGCCCUUCAUAUUUGUUUCCAGAUGGAAGACUCUCUUUCUAGUGGUGGAACAUUAGUUUUGCACUGUGUUGGGACAACCUGAUGUAGUGAAAACAAGCCUGGGCAAUGAAAUCAACAGAUUGGAGUUCAGUUCCUAAUUGGGUCAUGGAUGAACUUUGUGACCUUGGGCAAGUGAGUUCACCUCUCUGAGUUGAAUAGGUUCCCUCCUUUCUAGAACAAGUAUGAGUCUGCAUCAGAGAGUGGUUGCGAGGGCUACACAUGAUGGAGGAUGAGGACUGGCACAUCAGAAGUACUGAAUGAAGAAUUGUAACAUAAAAAUGACAACAGUAAUAUAUUUUUGUGGUUUCAGCACUCUUCAAAUGAAACCACCUGGCCAACAGGAUUUUAGUGUACCUGCUUAUAACAUUAGCCUUCGUUUCCACCAAAAAGGGUGUUAAAAAAGGAAGCUUGGAACAUGAAAGUAAGACACUUGGAUGAAGAGAUUUAUGACUCUGGGGGGCUGUGAAUUCCUAAUGUCCUUUUGAGACAUGUAGAUCUUCCAGAGCGAUGCUGCCCAAUGCAGUAGCCACUAGCCAAGUGCAAAUGGUCACUUGCAAUAUGGCUAGUCUUUGAGAUGUGUUUUAAGUGUAAAAUACACACUGAAUUUUAAAGACUUAGCGCAAUACAAAGAAUGUAAAAUAUCUCAUUAUAUCUUGAAAUUAUACUAUUUUGGAUAUAUGGUGUUCCCUUGGUGUCUUUGGGGACUGGUUCCAGGAUCCUAGAGGAUACCCAAAUCCCCAGAUGUCAAGUCCGCUAUAUAAAAUGUCCUGUAGUAUUUGCAUAUAACCUACACACAUCCUUCUGAAUACUUUAAAUCAUCUCUAGAUUCCUUGUAAUUCCUAAUACAAUGUAAAUGUUAUGUAAAUAGUUGUUAUACUAUAUUAAAAAGUUUUUUAUUCUUU